AAAGAAAAGGGUUCUUUCAAAAACCCUUAAAACCCACAAAAUUCAACAAAAUUGAAGAAGAAUCAAGUUAAAAACUGGGGCUUUAACUAAUUUCGUGAUCACCCAAGCUAGGAGAUCACAAGGUAUGUUGAAUUUUGUUCUUUGUUUGACGCUUGACAACCUAGGUGGAGGCUUGGGAAAGAAGCGGGUCAAACGGAUCGAGUAUGAGGAAAAAGAGCGUAAUCGGAUGCAAGGUAAGUAAAAGCUUACACCCUUAUCGUAAGAUAUGUAUUUAUUUAUAGAUUAUAAAUGCGACAAGGUUAUAUUCAAAAUACGAUUUGACACGAAAUGAUACGGGUCGGAACGUAUCAAAAGAUGAAAAACCAUGUUUAAUGGUAAAAAUGGGUGAAAUGGUAAUAUGGUCAUGAGAUGACAUAAAUAAAAAGAGAUUUUGAAUGGCUACUUCUAAGUAAGCCUAAACAAAUAAAAAGGGGUAAAAUGGUGAUUUAGUAAAAAAAAAAAUGGAUCAAAGUUGAAGUUUAAAACGACACCAAGUGGCAUGAGCCAUAUUGGGCAAUCGUGUAAGAAACAGAUUUAAGAGACCCAAUUAAUUGGUUAAAAAAAAUCCAAAAUGAGUUACUUAACGAAAUGGUAAAUAAAUACCAUUCAAAUAAAAGCGCAAAAAUGUUUGGUCGUUUAGACCAAACGGGUCAAACGGUAAUGUUGAUACCGUUUGACAUUUAACGACUAAUAAGUGUUUGUGGAGUUUUUAUGCACACAGGAUAAAACGGCUUAUGAAUUAGCGAUGCUAUGAAUUAGCAAUUAUUGAAACAAGGUAUUAAAACGGGUCAAUAUGUUGAUCCGAGCCAGGUACGCAUAAAUAAGUUUAUAGUUAAAAUUGCGAUUUUGGUCAAAUAAUUAGUGAAAGUCCUUCAUCGUAAAAUGAGGGACUAGCAUUGACCAAAAAGCCCUUGAGGGGAAAACUGGGUAAACGAUCCUUAGAGGUUGUUUAGGAAGUCAUAUCAUGAUUGUGUAAUCCUUAGAUAUGUAGGAAAGUUAUAGGCAUAAACAUUCGUGGGUCGAAUGCUUAAAAUGGGUCAUUUACGCAAAAUGACUAACCGAAAGGAAAGAUUGGGGGUAAUGGGUUCAUUAUGUUAAAUCCACCACAAAAGUAGUUGUGCUGGUUUAUAAUUAGUUAUUUAGAUAUGGGAAUGCAAAGUGUAAAAGGGGAAGAGCGAGUUAAUGCUUAAAUGCACAAAAUCCCCUAAACGGGUCAAAUGGAUUUAUGCGCAUCGCUUAUGAAUUAGACGCGUAAUUCAUAAAACAAAAAUUUCGAACCCGAGCUAUGAAUUUUGUGUUAAUUACAUUGGCUUAUGUAAUUGGAUUAUUUAGAAACAAAUUGGUGAUUUUAAACUUGAACGGGUCAAAAGUCCUUAUAAAUCAAUUUCAAGCCGAGAGCUUGAAAUCUAAUAUCUUAUGAGUCCAGAUGCCGGACUUUAACUCCAAGUGAUGGAGAAUUAAAUUAUGAUCGCAUAGGAAAAAGAAUUGUGUAAAACGGACGUACGAAACGAAAGUUAUGAGACUUGAAGUUGAAUUUUUAAGAAAAAUGGUGCUGGGCAGAAAAUACAGGUUUCAGUAAUGAACCCGCCGGAAAUUUGGUUCCCCCGCGACACGCGACGGAGGACUUAGUUUGGGGCGCGAUACGCGACGAUCGUCGCGAUACGCGAAAGAACAUAUGAACGCCGUCGCGACACGCGACGGCUUAAAAUCUGGAAAUUGUUGCUGAACUUUUUGUUGGCUUAUUUUUGACCCACAAACUGGCUCGAACAUGUUUUUAAACGAAAAAUGACUAACUCAUUUCAUGUUUUAUGAAAUGUAGGUAUAUUGUACAUUAACGGAGGACGAUCAAACUCGAAGGAACGAACCGUACACACAUUAAAUGAAGCUUCCGCAGAUGUUUUAAUUUGUUUUAUCAAAAGUGGAUUUAUGAAAACACAUUCAAGUAUGUUUUGGAAUGUUGUAAAUAUGUUUAAUUACUUAUAAUGUAAAAGUUUUUGU
rnacentral:lncRNA from 1 species